ACUGGGAUAACUCAGGGGGCAGAGCAUGAGGCUGUUAAUUUCAGGGUCGUGGGUUUGAGCCCCUCAAAGGAUUCCUGCA